rnacentral:snRNA from 1 species
GCAUCUUCUCGGCCUUUUGGCUAAGCAAAGUGAGUAUCUGUUCUUAUCAGUUUAAUAUCUGAUACGUCCCCUACCCGGGAACCAUAUAUUAAAUUGAUUUUUGGAGCAGGGAGAUGGAAUAGGGGCUUGCUCCGUCCACUCCACGCAUCGACCUGGUAUUGCAGUACCUCCAGGAACGGUGCACCCCCC